rnacentral:tRNA from 1 species
GCUGUAGUAGUUUAAUGGCAGAAUUCAGGACUGUGGAUCCUGGGGCGCGGGUUCGAUUCCCGCCUACGGCC